rnacentral:rRNA from 1 species
GAUGAACGCUGGCGGCGUGCCUAAUACAUGCAAGUCGAGCGAACGGACGAGAAGCUUGCUUCUCUGAUGUUAGCGGCGGACGGGUGAGUAACACGUGGAUAAACUAACUAUAAGACUGGGAUAACUUUGGGAAACCGGAGCUAAUACCGGAUAAUAUUUUGCACCGCAUUGUUCAAAAGUGAAAGACGGUAUUGCUGUCACUUAUAGAUUGAUCCGCGCUGCAUUAGCUAGUUGGUAAGGUAACGGCUUACCAAGGCAACGAGGCAUACCCGACCUGAGAGGGUGAACGGCCACACGGGAACUGAGACACGGUCCAGACUCCUACAGGAGGCAGCAGUAGGGAAUCUUCCGCAAUGGGCGAAAGCCGGACGGAGCAACGCCGCGUGAGUGAUGAAGGUCUUCUGAUCGUAAAGCUCUGUUAUUAGGGAAGAACAUAUGUGUAAGUAACUGUGCACAUCUUGACGGUACCUAAUCAGAAAGCCACGGCUAACUACGUG